rnacentral:rRNA from 1 species
AUUGAACGCUGGCGGCAUGCCUUACACAUGCAAGUCGAACGGUAACAGGUCUUCGGAUGCUGACGAGUGGCGAACGGGUGAGUAAUACAUCGGAACGUGCCUAGUAGUGGGGGAUAACUACUCGAAAGAGUGGCUAAUAUCGCAUGAGAUCUACGGAUGAAAGCAGGGGAUCGCAAGACCUUGUGCUACUAGAGCGGCCGAUGGCAGAUUAGGUAGUUGGUGGGAUAAGAGCUUACCAAGCCGACGAUCUGUAGCUGGUCUGAGAGGACGAUCAGCCACACUGGGCCUGAGACACGGCCCAGACUCCUACGGGAGGCAGCAGUGGGGAAUUUUGGACAAUGGGCGAAAGCCUGGUCCAGCAAUGCCGCGUGCAGGAUGAAGGCCUUCGGGUUGUAAACUGCUUUUGUACGGAACGAAAAGCCCCGGGUUAAUACCCUGGGGUCAUGACGGUACCGUAAGAAUAAGUACCGGCUAACUACGUGCCAGCAGCCGCCGUAA